CAGCCAUGUUGCGGUGAAUACGUUCCCGGGUCUUGUACUCACCGCCCGUCACACCAUGGGAGUUGUGUUUGCCUUAAGUCAGGAUGCUAAAUUGGCUACUGCCCACGGCACACACAGCGACUGGGGUGAAGUCGUAACAAGGUAACCGUAGGUGAACCUGCGGUUGGAUCACCUCCUUUCUAGA
rnacentral:rRNA from 1 species